UACAGAGGUCUCAAGCGUUGUUCGGAUUCAUUGGGCGUAAAGGGCGCGUAGGCGGCCAUGCGUGUCUUCCGUGAAAUCCCUCGGCUUAACUGAGGACGUGCGGAAGAAACUGCAAGGCUCGAGUCCGGGAGAGGGGGGUGGAAUUCCCAGUGUAGCGGUGAAAUGCGUAGAUAUUGGGAGGAACACCGGUGGCGAAGGCGGCCCCCUGGACCGGUACUGACGCUGAGGCGCGAAAAGCGUGGGUAGCAAACGGGG
rnacentral:rRNA from 1 species